rnacentral:rRNA from 1 species
GUCCUUACAGCCAUGCCAACUUUCGCCCUCACGGCACUGCGCUUCCCCGCUAAGCUUCUCAAGGAAAUUGACAAGUGUAGACGACGUUUCCUCUGGGGCCAUGAUCAGGAACUCUCUGGCGGCAGCUGCAAAGUCAGCUGGGGAUGGGUCUGCUCACCGGUCGAGCAUGGAGGGCUCGGCAUCCUCGACCUGACGAAAUUCAGCCGCGCCCUUCGGCUUCGUUGGCUCUGGUACGCCUGGAAAAGCCCGGAGCGGCCGUCGGCGGGGACGGAACCACCCUGUGACGCCUCCGACCACGCCCUCUUU